rnacentral:rRNA from 1 species
AGGUAAGAUGACUGUAGUACUUAAUUUGACUAUUAGUCUCUUGAAUAGUAAGUUCUUAGUGGGCCAUUUUUGGUAAGCAGAACUGGCGAUGUGGGAAUGAACCAAACGUAAAGUUAAAGUGCCUAAAAAUACGUUCAUCAGAUACCACAAAAAGGUGUUGAUUCAUCUUGACAGUUGGACAGUGGCCAUGGAAGUCGGAAUCUGCUAAGGAAGUAGUGUAACAACUCACCAACCGAAUGAAUUAGCCCUGAAAAUGGAUGGCGCUUAAACGUAUUACUUAUACUUUACCGUUAAAAUAAAAUGCUAAAUUUUAACGAGUAGGAGGGCGUAAUGGAUAAUAUAGAAGAUUAACAGUGAUGUUAAUUGAAUUUUAUCUUUAGUGCAGAUCUUGGUGGUAGUAGCAAAUAUUCAAUAGAGAACAUUGAAGACUGAAGUGGAGAAAAGGUUUCACAUGAACAACACUUGGAUGUGAGUUAGUCGAUCCUAAACGGUGGGUUAACUCCAUAUACAUAGAUACUUGUAUCUUGUACCGUGAAAGGG